rnacentral:tRNA from 1 species
GGCCCCGUAGCUCAACUGGAUAGAGCAGCGGACUUCUAAUCCGCAGGUUGAGGGUUCGAGUCCUUCCGGGGUCGCCA